rnacentral:rRNA from 1 species
AUACGUAGGGGGCGAGCGUUGUCCGGAAUGAUUGGGCGUAAAGGGCGCGUAGGCGGCCCGGUAAGUCUGGAGUGAAAGUCCUGUUUUUAAGAUGGGAAAUGCUUUGGAUACUGUCGGGCUUGAGUGCAGGAGAGGUAAGUGGAAUUCCAAGUGUAGCGGUGAAAUGCGUAGAGAUUGGGAGGAACACCAGUGGCGAAGGCGACUUACUGGACUGUAACUGACGCUGAGGCGCGAAAGUGUGGGGAGCAAACAGGAUUAGAUACCCUGGUAGUCCACACUGUAAACGAUGAAUGCUAGGUGUAGGGGGUAUCGACCCCUUCUGUGCCGCAGUCAACACAAUAAGCAUUCCGCCUGGGGAGUACGGCCGCAAGGUUGAAACUCAAAUGAAUUGACGG